AAACUUCUUUAUCACCGAGUGCUUGCACUCACCGAUAAAGAGUUGAGUGGCGAACGGGUGAGUAACACGUGGGCAACCUGCCCAAAAGAGGGGGAUAACACUUGGAAACAGGUGCUAAUACCGCAUAACCAUAGUUACCGCAUGGUAACUAUGUAAAAGGUGGCUAUACUACCGCUUUUGGAUGGGCCCGCGGCGCAUUAGCUAGUUGGUAGGGUAAAGGCUUACCAAGGCAAUGAUGCGUAGCCGAAUUGAGAGGUUGAUCGGCCACAUUGGGACUGAGACACGGCCCAAACUCCUACGGGAGGCAGCAGUAGGGAAUCUUCCACAAUGGGCGAAAGCCUGAUGGAGCAACGCCGCGUGGGUGAAGAAGGUCUUCGGAUCGUAAAACCCUGUUGUUAGAGAAGAAAGUGCGUGAGAGUAACUGUUCACGUUUCGACGGUAUCUAACCAGAAAGCCACGGCUAACUACGUGCCAGCAGCCGCGGUAAUACGUAGGUGGCAAGCGUUAUCCGGAUUUAUUGGGCGUAAAGGGAACGCAGGCGGUCUUUUAAGUCUGAUGUGAAAGCCUUCGGCUUAACCGGAGUAGUGCAUUGGAAACUGGGAGACUUGAGUGCAGAAGAGGAGAGUGGAACUCCAUGUGUAGCGGUGAAAUGCGUAGAUAUAUGGAAGAACACCAGUGGCGAAAGCGGCUCUCUGGUCUGUAACUGACGCUGAGGUUCGAAAGCGUGGGUAGCAAACAGGAUUAGAUACCCUGGUAGUC
rnacentral:rRNA from 1 species